GCCGAAGUGGCGAAAUGGCAGACGCACUAGACUCAGAAUCUAGUUCCUUAACGGGAGUGUGGGUUCAAGUCCCAUUUUCGGCA
rnacentral:tRNA from 1 species